AUGUCCCGGGGAGGGAUGCGUCCCCAUUUUGCAGAGGAGGACACUGAGGUCCGGAGAAGAUACCCGCUCUCCUUCCACCUACCCCCAAAUCUUAGCUCAGCACUGGGGCCAGGCGAGGCGUUUCCUGUCGCGGACGAUGGAGGGGGGCCGAAUCUGUCCACUCUACCCAGGCUCCGACGAGACGGCGGCCAGAGCGUCUCCACGGGCCACGUGUACGAAGACUUAAGUACCGGGAGGAUCUGGGCUCGAGCCCCACCCCGUUCCCCGGCCAGGGGGAUCCGGCGGGGUUCCUCCGGAGCAGGUAUUCAUUUACAUGGACACGCUUACUUUCCGGAGACACGUACACCAUCGUGCGUUAUGCAGACGCUUAUAUACGCCGUCUUAUUUACACACCACAGACGUUAUUCCUCUACAGCGCCUCGUACUCCGGCUGAUUCUCAUCCUGCAGAGACACACACACACACAGAGACAGAAAUCCAAGACGUCGCCAGGAUCCGACCUCCAAGGGCAGAGACCCCUCACUUGCCUCUGCUCCCAGACCUCCGGUCACACCACCACGCUGAGGAGCAGCGGGGCUCAGUGGAAAGGGCCCGGGCUUGGGAGUCCGAGGUCACGAGUCCGAAUCCCAGCUCUGCCACUCGUCAGCUGCGGGACCGGGGGCGAGUCACUUGGCUUCUCUGGGCCUCAGUGACCUCAUCCGUCAAAUGGGGAUUAAGCGGGAGCCUCACGUGGGACGCCCCGAUGACCCUGGGUCUACCCCAGCGCUUAGAACGGUGCUGGGCACAUAGUAAGCGCUUAACGGAUACCAACGUUAUCGUUAACGUUAUUACCACCAGCCGGCAUCACUUCCCCCCCCUUAAAGCCGUCUAG
rnacentral:lncRNA from 1 species